ACACAACAAAGCCAUUGCGAAACACUGAACAGAAUUUCUACUACGCCAUAGCUCGUAAUGUUUACAUACAAAGGUGAACGUUGUAUGGUGACGCAUCGCGUGACUGCAGCGAAGCAAGAUCCACGCGUCAGUUUCACACUAGAAAACGAUGUAAACACUGAAUUCAAAGCGAUGUCGCAUGGAUCGUAGCCAACGUGCCAAUGGCUCCCUACUACUAGGACGACUAGAUUUUCUGUUCCGAAGCGAUCGAGAAACAUCAACCGUGCCAGAAAUUUGUGCUGGCUCCUGUUUUUCUGGGGUGUGCUCUUGGUGCGUGCCAUGAGUGCUUGGCGAUUACGCUCCGACAUGUCGGUGGAUGAGUUUCACCCCUUUAUUGAGGCUGUGUUGCCUUAUGUCAAAUCGUUCUCCUACAUUUGGUUCAACCUGCAAGCGCGGAAGCGCAAGUACCUUAAGAAGCAUGAAAAACGUAUGUCUGCACUUGAGGAGCGCCAGGCCAAAGAGGAGCUGGCCAAUGACAAGCCAGAAGUCAAGCAGAAGUGGGCCUCGCGCCUCCUGGCCAAGCUGCGCAAGGACAUUCGGCCAGAGUACCGGGAGGACUUUGUGCUGAGUGUGACCGGCAAGAAGACGCCCAUGUGCGUGCUGAGCAACCCCGACCAGAAGGGCAAGAUCCGACGCAUCGACUGCUUACGCCAGGCCGACAAGGUCUGGCGGCUGGACCUGGUCAUGGUGGUGCUCUUCAAGGCUAUCCCAUUGGAGAGCACAGAUGGCGAGAGGCUGGUCAAGUCCAUAAACUGUGCCAACCCUGUGCUGUGCGUACAGCCACACCACAUAAGUGUCAGCAUCCGAGAGUUGGAUCUGUUUCUUGCAACCUUCAUCGUGCAAUCUCCAGAGCGGGCACUAAGUGAUUCUGGGGACAGCAUGUCUGUCAAAAGUGGCAGUGAACCAGAUUGGCAGAAUCCAUUAACUAUUGUUACUACCCAAGAAGAACCAAAUAGCUUUGCCACCAGCGGUGUUUUCUCUUCAAAUGAAUUGAGAAGACUCACCCAAGGUUCAAUCUGUGAUGGGGCCUCGUGCACCUUGCCUCUAAGUGACCUGGAGAGUCCUACAUACUACCAGUAUGCCACCGAUGUCACUCAGCCACUGGCCACCCGUCGCCACAUCCAGCCCAACCAUCCCAUCACCAAGCGGAUUAAGCGCAACUCCAGCACCAUGUCCUCAGCUGACGACGAUGUGGACAGCGUGGGGGAAGACACUGAGAAUCUGAACUUCUAUGGCCGGUCCCCUGCCUCACUCAGCAGCCAAUCUGGUAGCUGGCACAGUGACAUUGACCCUGGCACUAGCCCCGUGGUCCCGUCCAGCCUAUCACAUGUCAGUCACAAGCCCAAGAUCUCAGAGGGGGCCAGCAACUUUGCAUCCCAGUCCUCCCCAGCAACUAGGAGGGUCCUGAAAGUUGAACCAAAGAUUGAAGAAGAUGGUGGCCUGUCUUCCUGUUCCCUGCAUCAAGGACUGGCCCAGGUUACUCAGGCAACCGAAUACAAGGGUCAAAUCCAAGGAACGAUGGCGUCUUUCACUGGUCCCACAUUAGCGCAGGCUUCCCAUUAUUCUAACCAGCUGAGGUUACACUCCCAGCACCCAGACACCGCCCCACUCUCAGACUUUGUUCAGCUGGUAUGCCACCAAGACAACUACCAACAACAGGUCAAAAAUGGUGCAGUCAGCAACACCAGCAGUCCCACCAAGAUAGCUGGGUUCAUCCCCACAGCCAUGCUUCCACCACCCCCUCCCCCUCCAAUGGCACGACCAGUUGCCAUAGCAACCUCCAUUGGCCAAACUGGUGCCCUUUCCAGUGUGACCAGUCAAACGAGCAUCCCAAAUUCAACAAGUGCCCAAGGUGCUCUCCUACCCCAGUAUCAGCCCCAUCAACAUCAGUCCCACAACGAUUGGAUUUCUUACCUCCCCGGUUGCAACGCCCAGAUCUACGCCGCGAUCGACGCCCAUCCCACGUUGGACGACACCCCUGAUUUCACUCGAUGAGAAUGCAGACUACACCAUGCUCUCUGGUUUAAUAGCAGCUGCAACCAGUGAGGAAGCGUUCCUCAGCUGCGGUGAGAGAUUUUUGCCUGUCAACCUUACAGCCGAACCAAUGGAG
rnacentral:misc_RNA from 1 species